rnacentral:lncRNA from 10 species
CACAGAUGCAUUCAUCGAGCCACCCACUGCUCCAGCCUGCCCCAGCUGUUCCCUCUGUCUGUCCUCUCUGUUUUGCAGAUGGGGAAACUGAGGCUUAGGUCGGGGAUCUAGACAAUUGGGAUUUAAACCCAGGGACUAUCCAGCCCCAAAGCCCUUCCCACCACACCAGGUGGCCUGUCCUGGGGCCAGCUCUGCACACAGGGCCUGGUGCCCCCGGGGUGCUUGGGAAGUGGCAGGGCAGAGGUGGGCCCUGUGGCUGUUCUGGCUCAGCUUCUAAAACAAGAGCCUCUGCUGGGGGCAGAGGGGCCGUGAACCCCUGAAAUGUUAGGCAGAUACCCUGUGGGAGCUUUGUUCUGGGAUGCUAAGAACCGCUUGAGGAUUUAAGCUUUGCCACUUUGGCUCCGGAGCAAGGGCAGAGGGUGCCCAAGAAACACUUGACCUGCCUUAUCUCCCAGAAGCCCUACAAGGGAGGUGCUAUUAUUGCAAUCCCCAUUUUACAAGUAGAGAAACCGAGGCUCAGAGAGAUGAGAAUGGGCGGCAGUAAUCAUCCCUUCCUCCUGGGGGUGGUUGUGAAGCUUGAAGGAGACACUGUAAGCGCUCGGGUGGUACCCUGGUACUCCAUCACUAACCUGCUGUGUGACCUCAGGUAAGUCGCUUAGCCUCUCUGAGCCUCAGUUUCCUCAUCUGUAAAAUGGGAAUGAUUGCAAUACCUACCUCCAGGGCAGAUUUUCUCAACCUCAGCGCUGUUGAUGUUGUUGACUGGGUUAUUCUGUGUGGUGCGG